UACGUAGGGUGCAGGCGUUAAUCGGAAUUACUGGGCGUAAAGCGUGCGUAGGCGGUUUGUUAAGACGGUGUGAAAUCCCCGGGCUUAACCUGGGAACUGCGCUUGUUACUGGCAGACUGGAGUGUGGCAGAGGGGGGUGGAAUUCCAGGUGUAGCAGUGAAAUGCGUAGAUAUCUGGAGGAACACCGAUGGCGAAGGCAGCCCCCUGGGCUAACACUGACGCUGGAGACGAAAGCGUGGGGAGCGAAACAAGG
rnacentral:rRNA from 1 species